UCCACAUUUUCAUGUUGUUGUUAUGAGGGAAAGCCAAUUAGAAAAGUUUCAGAAGUGAUAGUCUUCAGAGCUACUCGUGAUUGUUAGAAAAGUAUCCAGACCGCAGUUGACAAGAGUUGUGUAGCAGUAAUUUAUUUGUUUCUUCCUCAAACUGUUCGCUCAGAAAAGAAAUGAUUGAUUGUAAGAGUUGGGGAUCCGACAAUCAGUUGUUUAAACAUAGGCAGUGAAGAUAAGUUCAGA
rnacentral:lncRNA from 1 species